GCAAAAGGGGGGCCCCAUACCAUGCCCUCCCGAGCGGGCGUAGCAAUACGUCAGCGACAGACGGGUGAGUAACGCGUGGGAACGUACCUUUUGGUUCGGAACAACACAGGGAAACUUGUGCUAAUACCGGAUAAGCCCUUACGGGGAAAGAUUUAUCGCCGAAAGAUCGGCCCGCGUCUGAUUAGCUAGUUGGUAGGGUAAUGGCCUACCAAGGCGACGAUCAGUAGCUGGUCUGAGAGGAUGAUCAGCCACAUUGGGACUGAGACACGGCCCAAACUCCUACGGGAGGCAGCAGUGGGGAAUAUUGGACAAUGGGGGCAACCCUGAUCCAGCCAUGCCGCGUGAGUGAUGAAGGCCCUAGGGUUGUAAAGCUCUUUUGUGCGGGAAGAUAAUGACGGUACCGCAAGAAUAAGCCCCGGCUAACUUCGUGCCAGCAGCCGCGGUAAUACGAAGGGGGCUAGCGUUGCUCGGAAUCACUGGGCGUAAAGGGUGCGUAGGCGGGUCUUUAAGUCAGGGGUGAAAUCCUGGAGCUCAACUCCAGAACUGCCUUUGAUACUGAAGAUCUUGAGUUCGGGAGAGGUGAGUGGAACUGCGAGUGUAGAGGUGAAAUUCGUAGAUAUUCGCAAGAACACCAGUGGCGAAGGCGGCUCACUGGCCCGAUACUGACGCUGAGGCACAAAGCGUGGGGAGCAAACAGGGAUUAGAUACCCUGGUAGUCCACGCCGUAACGAUGAAU
rnacentral:rRNA from 1 species